rnacentral:rRNA from 1 species
GAUGAACGCUGGCGGCGUGCCUAAUACAUGCAAGUCGAGCGAACGGACGAGAAGCUUGCUUCUCUGAUGUUAGCGGCGGACGGGUGAGUAACACGUGGAUAACCUACCUAUAAGACUGGGAUAACUUCGGGAAACCGGAGCUAAUACCGGAUAAUAUUUUGAACCGCAUGGUUCAAAAGUGAAAGACGGUCUUGCUGUCACUUAUAGAUGGAUCCGCGCUGCAUUAGCUAGUUGGUAAGGUAACGGCUUACCAAGGCAACGAUGCAUAGCCGACCUGAGAGGGUGAUCGGCCACACUGGAACUGAGACACGGUCCAGACUCCUACGGGAGGCAGCAGUAGGGAAUCUUCCGCAAUGGGCGAAAGCCUGACGGAGCAACGCCGCGUGAGUGAUGAAGGUCUUCGGAUCGUAAAACUCUGUUAUUAGGGAAGAACAUAUGUGUAAGUAACUGUGCACAUCUUGACGGUACCUAAUCAGAAAGCCACGGCUAACUACGUGCCAGCAGCCGCGGUAAUACGUAGGUGGCAAGCGUUAUCCGGAAUUAUUGGGCGUAAAGCGCGCGUAGGCGGUUUUUUAAGUCUGAUGUGAAAGCCCACGGCUCAACCGUGGAGGGUCAUUGGAAACUGGAAAACUUGAGUGCAGAAGAGGAAAGUGGAAUUCCAUGUGUAGCGGUGAAAUGCGCAGAGAUAUGGAGGAACACCAGUGGCGAAGGCGACUUUCUGGUCUGUAACUGACGCUGAUGUGCGAAAGCGUGGGGAUCAAACAGGAUUAGAUACCCUGGUAGUCCACGCCGUAAACGAUGAGUGCUAAGUGUUAGGGGGUUUCCGCCCCUUAGUGCUGCAGCUAACGCAUUAAGCACUCCGCCUGGGGAGUACGACCGCAAGGUUGAAACUCAAAGGAAUUGACGGGGACCCGCACAAGCGGUGGAGCAUGUGGUUUAAUUCGAAGCAACGCGAAGAACCUUACCAAAUCUUGACAUCCUUUGACAACUCUAGAGAUAGAGCUUUCCCCUUCGGGGGACAAAGUGACAGGUGGUGCAUGGUUGUCGUCAGCUCGUGUCGUGAGAUGUUGGGUUAAGUCCCGCAACGAGCGCAGCCCUUAAGCUUAGUUGCCAUCAUUAAGUUGGGCACUCUAAGUUGACUGCCGGUGACAAACCGGAGGAAGGUGGGGAUGACGUCAAAUCAUCAUGCCCCUUAUGAUUUGGGCUACACACGUGCUACAAUGGACAAUACAAAGGGCAGCGAAACCGCGAGGUCAAGCAAAUCCCAUAAAGUUGUUCUCAGUUCGGAUUGUAGUCUGCAACUCGACUACAUGAAGCUGGAAUCGCUAGUAAUCGUAGAUCAGCAUGCUACGGUGAAUACGUUCCCGGGUCU